AGCAUCCGAUCUCUAUAGGAUGUCCACACGAAGUUCUAGUGCUGAUCGGUUUCCUCGGGAGUGUAAGCUCGUGCAAAGAUCUUUUCGAUAGUUGAUCUGGUUCCUUUCUGGAUCUCACAGACUCUUUCAAAAUUGAAGAUGGAUUUAGGAGAAUGAUGUGGUGGAAGACUGUGAAGAGGAGACAAACUCUCUUCUCUUCCCGAAACCCUAGAAUCAGAACCC
rnacentral:lncRNA from 1 species